UGAAGCGGCAACAGCUCGAAUUUGAAAUCUGGCCUCGGCCCGAGUUGUAAUCUGUAGAGGACGCUUUUGGCGCGGUGCCUUCCGAGUUCCCUGGAACGGGACGCCACAGAGGGUGAGAGCCCCGUAAGGUCGGACACCAAGCCUGUGUAAAGCCCCUUCGACGAGUCGAGUAGCUUGGGAAUGCUGCUCUAAGCGGGAGGUAUACUUCUUCUAAAGCUAAAUAUUGGCCAGAGACCGAUAGCGCACAAGUAGAGUGAUCGAAAGAUGAAAAGCACUUUGAAAAGAGGGUCAAAUAGUACGUGAAAUUGUUGAAAGGGAAGCGCUUGUGAUCAGACUCGCGCCGGGCGGAUCAUCCAGUGGUCUCCACUGGUGCACUCCGGCCGGCGCGGGCCAGCGUCGGCUGUUGCGGGGGGACAAAAGCUCUGGGAACGUAGCUCUCUCCGGGGAGUGUUAUAGCCCUCUGCAGAAUACC
rnacentral:rRNA from 1 species